rnacentral:rRNA from 1 species
AGUGAACGCUGGCGGUAGGCCUAACACAUGCAAGUCGAACGGCAGCACAGUAAGAGCUUGCUCUUACGGGUGGCGAGUGGCGGACGGGUGAGGAAUACAUCGGAAUCUACUUUUUCGUGGGGGAUAACGUAGGGAAACUUACGCUAAUACCGCAUACGACCUACGGGUGAAAGCAGGGGAUCUUCGGACCUUGCGCGAUUGAAUGAGCCGAUGUCGGAUUAGCUAGUUGGCGGGGUAAAGGCCCACCAAGGCGACGAUCCGUAGCUGGUCUGAGAGGAUGAUCACCCACAUGGGAACGGAGCCACGGUCCAGACUCCUACGGGAGGCAGAGGGGGGAAAUAUUGGACAAGGGGCGCAGGCCUGACCCAGCAAUCCCGGGGGGGGGAAGAAGGCCUUGGGUUUGAAAAGCCCUUUUUUGGGAAAAAAAAAGCAGCAGGUAAAUCCCCCGCUGUUCGGACGGUACCAAAAAAAAAAGCACCGGCUAACUUCGUG